rnacentral:tRNA from 1 species
GACAGUAAGCGUUAUAUUGACUUAGGUGAUAACUAAGUUUGUGUAAUAGAGACAACUAUUAUCU